rnacentral:snRNA from 1 species
CUUGUGUGUAUAGAUCGUAGA